AUGAGCUGGAACUGCCGAGGCCUCGGGCAACCUCGGACAGUUCAAGAACUCGUGUGCCUUGUUCACAUGUACAAGCCCAAGCUCGUCUUCCUCACUGAAACUCGGCAAAAUAAUAAGUACGUCUCAAAUCUCAAGUGGAGGCUAGGCCUUCGUCAUUGUAUCAUGCAAUCCGGCACUGGUAAAGGUGCCGGCAUUGCCCUAUUCUAUGAUGAUAGU
rnacentral:rRNA from 1 species